rnacentral:tRNA from 1 species
UCCAGUGUGGUCUAGUGGCUAGGAUACGCGGGUCUCACCCGCGAGGCCCGGGUUCGAUUCCCGGCACGGGAA